ACGAACGCUGGCGGCGUGCCUAAUACAUGCAAGUCGAGCGGAAUGAUGAAGAAGCUUGCUUCUUCUGAUUUUAGCGGCGGACGGGUGAGUAACACGUGGGCAACCUACCUUGUAGAUUGGGAUAACUCCGGGAAAACCGGGGCUAAUACCGAAUAAUCCAUUUUGCUUCAUGGCGAGAUGUUGAAAGACGGUUUCGGCUGUCACUAUAAGAUGGGCCCGCGGCGCAUUAGCUAGUUGGUAGGGUAAUGGCCUACCAAGGCGACGAUGCGUAGCCGACCUGAGAGGGUGAUCGGCCACACUGGGACUGAGACACGGCCCAGACUCCUACGGGAGGCAGCAGUAGGGAAUCUUCCACAAUGGACGAAAGUCUGAUGGAGCAACGCCGCGUGAGUGAAGAAGGUUUUCGGAUCGUAAAACUCUGUUGUAAGGGAAGAACACGUACGAGAGUAACUGCUCGUACCUUGACGGUACCUUAUUAGAAAGCCACGGCUAACUACGUG
rnacentral:rRNA from 1 species